GUGGGGAAUAUUGCACAAUGGGCGAAAGCCUGAUGCAGCAACGCCGCGUGAGGGACGACGGCCUUCGGGUUGUAAACCUCUUUUAGCAAGGAAGAAGCGAAAGUGACGGUACUUGCAGAAAAAGCGCCGGCUAACUACGUGCCAGCAGCCGCGGUAAUACGUAGGGCGCAAGCGUUAUCCGGAAUUAUUGGGCGUAAAGAGCUCGUAGGCGGUUUGUCGCGUCUGCUGUGAAAUCCCGAGGCUCAACCUCGGGUCUGCAGUGGGUACGGGCAGACUAGAGUGCGGUAGGGGAGAUUGGAAUUCCUGGUGUAGCGGUGGAAUGCGCAGAUAUCAGGAGGAACACCGAUGGCGAAGGCAGAUCUCUGGGCCGUAACUGACGCUGAGGAGCGAAAGGGUGGGGAGCAAACAGG
rnacentral:rRNA from 1 species